AUUGAACGCUGGCGGCAUGCUUUACACAUGCAAGUCGAACGGCAGCGCGGGCUUCGGCCUGGCGGCGAGUGGCGAACGGGUGAGUAAUGCAUCGGAACGUGCCCAGUAGUGGGGGAUAGCCCGGCGAAAGCCGGAUUAAUACCGCAUACGACCUGAGGGUGAAAGCGGGGGACCGAAAGGCCACGCGCCAUUGGAACGGCCGCUGUCGGAUUAGCUAGUUGGUGGGGUAAAGGCUUACCAAGGCGACGAUCCGUAGCUGGUCUGAGAGGACGACCAGCCACACUGGGACUGAGACACGGCCCAGACUCCUACGGGAGGCAGCAGUGGGGAAUUUUGGACAAUGGGGGCAACCCUGAUCCAGCCAUGCCGCGUGCGGGAAGAAGGCCUUCGGGUUGUAAACCGCUUUUGUUCGGGAAGAAAUCCUCUGGGCUAAUACCCCGGGGGGAUGACGGUACCGGAAGAAUAAGCACCGGCUAACUACGUG
rnacentral:rRNA from 1 species